GAUGAACGCUGGCGGCGUGCUUAACACAUGCAAGUCGAACGAAGCAUUUAGAACAGAUUACUUCGGUUUGAAGUUCUUUAUGACUGAGUGGCGGACGGGUGAGUAACGCGUGGGUAACCUGCCUUGUACUGGGGGAUAGCAGCUGGAAACGGCUGGUAAUACCGCAUAAGCGCACAAUGUUGCAUGACAUGGUGUGAAAAACUCCGGUGGUAUAAGAUGGACCCGCGUCUGAUUAGCUAGUUGGUGAGAUAACAGCCCACCAAGGCGACGAUCAGUAGCCGACCUGAGAGGGUGACCGGCCACAUUGGGACUGAGACACGGCCCAGAAUCCUACGGGAGGCAGCAGUGGGGAAUAUUGCACAAUGGAGGAAACGCUGAUGCAGCGACGCCGCGUGAGUGAAGAAGUAAUUCGUGAUGUAAAGCUCUAUCAGCAGGGAAGAUAGUGACGGUACCUGACUAAGAAGCUCCGGCUAAAUACGUG
rnacentral:rRNA from 1 species